GAUGGAUCUGCGGCUCAUCAGGUAGUAGUGGGUGUAAUGUACCUACUAGCCAACGACGAGUACGGGUUGUGAGAGCAAGAGCCCGGAGAUGGAUUCUGAGACACGAAUCCAGGCCCUACGGGGUGCAGCAGGCGCGAAUCCUUUACAAUGCAGGAAACUGCGAUAAGGGGACACCGAGUGCCAGUGAAUUUCAUUGGCUGUCUUAAUGUCUAAAACGCAUUUAAUAGCAAGGGCUGGGCAAGACCGGUGCCAGCCGCCGCGGUAAUACCGGCAGCCCGAGUGGUAACCACUAUUAUUGGGUCUAAAGGGUCCGUAGCCGGGCCAAUCAGUCUUCUGGGAAAUCUGGCAGCUCAACUGUCAGGCGACUAGGGGAUACUGUUGGCCUUGGGACCGGGAGAGGUAAGAGGUACUUUAGGGGUAGGAGUGAAAUCUUGUAAUCCUUAAGGGACCACCAGUGGCGAAGGCGUCUUACCAGAACGGGUCCGACGGUGAGGGACGAAAGCUAGGG
rnacentral:rRNA from 1 species